UUUUUUCUUGUCGUGUCAUUUGACCAUAUGAAUCAAGAAUUUUCUGCAAAUUUGUAGACUUUGUUUUACGACCUUUUUCAUUUUUUUCAUGCAGCUUGUAAUUCAUGGCGGUUGUAUGCUGUAACAGUUGGUGAAAUUGAAAGAAGGAGAGACUUACAAUGGGCAUUUGGUCAAUUGUGAUGCUUGGAUGAACAUCCAUCUCCGUUUAGCUUUAAUUUUCUUUAACCCUAAUAUCCUUGAUCUGUUUUAGAUUCCAAAAUUUCCCAUCUCUUUCCAUUCUUUCAUUUUAUGUUCUUGACCCUGGCUUUUCUUGCAGGUUGCUUGAUUUUUCUUUUUGGCUCUAAAAAACAUUGUAACCAUCUCAACUGUCUUUGAUUUGAAAACUUUCUAUCUUUCUCCUGUUUUUUUGACAAUCUUAUUUUUUUUUCUUGUGUUAACUGCUGGUUCCUCUUUCUUUACUCAAGACUGCUCAAGGCCACCCAAUGCUUGUAAUUCAUGGCCCUUCUUCCAGGUGUUUUUGAUACGAUGGAUAGACUUAUUGGCUGAAGUCACAAUACAAGAACUCUGAACUGUGAAUUUGCUUUAUUGUUUCUUCACGUGAUAAAUGACUAGUCUGAGCUUCAGUUUUUUUUUCUUGGCUUUUAAUGUAUUGUUAAACUAUUGUGUCUUGUAAUUAAUGUUUGAAAUUUAUUUAUCUGAUUUGCGAGCCGAUAUCUUUACUGAAAUCCUAGACGAUGAUGUUUUGGUCUUGCCCCCACAUGUACUCGGUACUAACUGAGAUAGGUGAUGUUUCUAUGCUUCCACUUAAGCAUUUAUCUUUUGAGAAGUGACAUGCUCUCUUUUAUUGGAACAUAUAGGUAUAAGUGGAGUGUGAAAGAGUUGCAUAAAAUGCCUCAUUGGUGCAAUGAGCAACUUCAGCAGUUCAGCCAUAUGAACAAGAAGGCACUAGAUCAACAUGAGGUAAGUGACGAGGCCCUCCAGAAAAGGCAAGCUGAACUUGAGGCAAGUGACGAGUAAAAAAGCAGACUGAGCUUGAGCUUGAUGUGAAAGACCUGCUAGAGAGAAUUUCAGGAUAUAUCCAAGCCAAGGAUGAUGCUAUGAUUUAACGUGUGCUAUGCUAAAAUGUAAGGUAUCUCCUCAACUAAAAUUUUCCACAUUGUUAUCUAAGCUAUAAUUUCAGCUGAUAGGGCCUCACAUUAGGUUUUUAUCCUCUACUUUCAAUAAACUAAUGCAUACAAAUAACAUGGUAGAUAAUAAUAAAACACAGUCUAGUAGAUGAAGAAUUUGCAAAUAAGUAAU